UGCUGUGGCCCAGGGGCUGCUGAAGACAUAGGCUGCAUUCUGAGGGAGCGGACCAUGAACCUCACUGACAAGCGGCCCAACAAGUGGUGGACCGAGACGGACACGUUCACCAUGCUGGCCCUGAUCGAGCAGCUGGAACUGGUGCACGAGCUGGACAAGAAGCGGCAGCGCAACGACUCCCACUUCCGCCGGCUGCGGCACAGCCUGGCCAAGCGCAGCAUCCACUUCAGCGUCAACCAGAUCCGCAACCGCUGGAAGAGCCUGAAGCACAAGUACCGCAAGAUCAAGACGGCCAGCUACCGCAGCCCUGCAGCCCGGCUCUCGGCCAUCGAGUCCUUCCGCUACUUCCGCAGGCUGGAUCGCAUGCUGGCUCGCAGGCCCAGGGAAGGAGCCCAGGCAGAGGGCAUGGAAGGGGGUCAUGGCCAUGUGCUUUUGUCUCCUUCAGACUUGGAGGAUCAUUCUGACAGCGAAGGCACUCAGCCCGCUGCUGCUUCUUGGCAGGGAACGCUCAUUCCGAAACUCGAAUUGAAUGAGCAGGAGAAGUUAUGCCCGGAUGAGACAACCGAGGGUCAACUAGGCUGGCCACCCGGGACGGAUGAGGUGAUGACCCUUGGCCUUUCUGGGGAAUACCUUUGCUCUGUUAAAGCAGAGCCAGUGCCAGACUCUUCUCUGCAUGACUUGGAGGACCUCAGGGAGCCAAUCAGCUGUAGGGCUGAAGGUUUUCAAGGUACUUGCGAGGACACCAGUCGACUCAUCCUCCACCAACUCACCAUUCUUAACCACCAGCUCAGUGAGCAGCUCGCUGAACAGCGCUCCUUUCACUGCAGCAUGCUAGGGAUGAUGGACCGGCAGAUCGAAGUCCUGGAGCAGCUGUCCAACUUCACCAGGGUCCACCAGCCUAAGCCAGACUCAAUGGACACCAGCGACUCUUCAAUUAACCAAAAGGUGCAUGACGCUCUGGUUCAUAUUUUAAAGAGUAUGGGACACGCCCAGGCUCAGGCCCUGCAGCCGUGCUUGUCCAAAACCCCACCUUCACCUUCAAACCCCACCCCUCCUCCAUCAUGGACAUUGUCUGUUGUGGAAGUCCACCAGGGAUCACCAUCUACCAAGCGGACAUCAAUCAGUGAAAAUGAGGCGUCGAAGGCACCAGAUGAAGGCAGUUCUGGCCAGUCUAAUGACUCGGAGUGCCCAACCUCCCCGAGUAGCAGCGUAUUGGUAAAUGGUAUAGAUGGAACCAACUAUGGCAACUAAUGGUACAGAUGAGGAUAUGAUCCUUUAGGUCUUCUUUGAUUGGUAAAGUGAACCCUUUUGAAAUUUUAUGUUUUUCUAAAUUAAUUUGUCAUAAAAUGUGAUCUUAUCUAAGUCGAGGGUAUUGACCUAAAAGCUGAUCUUUUGUGUAUUUAAUGGAAAUACAACAGAAACAACUCAUAUUGCCAGUGGACGUGAACCCUUGGAAUUAAUUACUGGUUGAACCCCUUUUUGCAGCGAUAACCUCAACCAGGCAUUUCCUGAAUCUGUGGAUCAGACCUGCAGAUCGUUCACGAGGAAUCUUAGCCCAUUCUUUCUGGCAGGACUGCUGUAUCUCUGUCAUAUUCUUCUGGGUCAUUCCACUACAUCUCUACUGGGUUGAGGUCUGGGCUCUGACUUUGCCACUCCAAAGAACCAUUUUGUUUUUGUGAAGCUAUUCUGGUGUAGACCUCUAGGUAUUCCAACACCUGACCUCUUUUUAGCCUUUUUUUUUUUAGGUAAAUAUUGAAGGGUUCACAUACUUUUCCCAUAUUAUAUUUGUCAAUACCCUUGACUUAGAUAAGAUAAUAUUUAAUUACAAAUGAAUGCAGAAAACCAUGAAAGUCCUUGCCACUGUAAAAUCAGAUUGAAUAGCUCUGACACUCUUGCUCAAAAUAUUUAAAUUUUUUCAUGUUGAAGCUGUUUAUACUCCAUUACAACUUCAAAAUGCAACAACAUCCAGUUAUUCCAAUUGUUCAUUAGCUAAUGAAUAUUAUGCACAUUUUGUUCCAGUAGGUCACCUGUAGACUAUGGCUUUUGAAAUAUAAGUUUUUUUUAAUUUUUUUAUUGACAUUACAACCAUAUACCCAAUUAAAUCCGAUAACGUCCCUCGAGGACAUGGGACAGUGGUUGGCCUAGUGGGCAAGGAAACGGACCAGUAUUUCACCAAGGAGCACAGUAUCGUCCCCACACACUGCUCCCCUGGUGUCUUUCAUGGCUGCUCACCAAGGUGAUGGGUUAAAUGCAGUGUGCUGUGCUGCAGUGUUUCACAAUGAGGACCGUGUUACGAUGGUAGAAGAUUACACGUUAAAUCCAGUUAACUGUAAACACUGCAACGCACCAUGCAGCUGACUAAAAAAUCCAACAGUAAUAGUUCAUGUGCCAAGAGUUGAAUUGGAUAGUGUAUGUAGUUGAAUAGUAAUAGCACUAAUGCACUACUGUAUGUGCAAAACAGAUAAUGUAAUAAGUCAUUUGAACCUGUAUGGAGAGGAAAGAAACAGCGACAGGAUAUGAUAUAUUUUAAUAAUAUAAAUAGUAUAGCAUUGCUGUGUGAUUUGCUUGAGGAGAGAAAUUGUUACCUAAAUAACUCCCAAAUUGCAGUUGUCGGUGUCAUUGCACCAUGAUUAGAUUUUCGAUUAUGCUGAUAAUCGAUUACUGAAGAGAAAAAAAAACAGAACCUACACGCAGUCUUCUACAGUCUUCUACACGGUGCUUCUGUUUAUAAAAAGUUUAUAUUCUGUUCAUAUUAUAGUCCGCAUUUACUGCAUUUCCAUUGGUCAGAAAGAAAACUGGUAACACAUGCAAUUUCUUCCAGUAUUUAUUGCCCUGAUGUUUUAAUCAGUGGUAUCAACUCUUUGGCAUGAGUGAAAACAUUAUCACUUGGUUAAAACUUUGACUGGAAGAAGAAAGGAUUGAAAAUGGACAAAGUGGCGUCAUUUCUUUCCAGAUGGAGCAGGGAAAUUAUUAAUUUCAUCCCCAAUUGUAACCCCACCUUCAUUACAAUAAUGUGUCAAAUUAAUGUUUAAGAACUAUAAUGGAACGUUACAGUUAGCACAGACUGAAUAAUGUGUGGAAUGGCGGUGAUAAACACUGGACUGCAGAAACGAUACUGUCCAUAUAUCGUUUGAAGCCCGGGUGUUGGAAAUUAGACCAGAUGCCUGAUAAUAUUAAAUUGGGUCGAAAUCAAUCGUUCUCAGAUCCCUCUAUACUGGGAACUGCACACCUCUACCAGAGAUGUAUACCGAUCAGCCAUAACAUUAUAACAGGUGAAGUGAGCAGUAAUUGAAUAUCUUGUUUCAGUGGGUGGAAUUCUAUGUCUCCUUGUCCAGUAAGUUGUGGUAUCAGAGGCAGAAGAAGCGAGCGUAAGAACUUGAGUUACUGACGAGUGCUUACCUGGGGAAGACCCUGCACCAGGAGGCCAUAUAGAAAGCAGGGAAGCCGCUGGAGGCUGAAUAUGGACUUGUUCUUUUCCACCGCCUACAUGAACACACUUCCAUGGAAACAGAAUUCCCAAACGGCAGCAUCCGUGGGAUUUGCAAUAGGGGGAGGGAACUUGCAUGAUCCAUUGGAUCCACCUUCUGAUGGAGGCCGUGCCCCCCACGGCUCAGGCCGGUUUUUGGCUACUACGCAGUAGUAAGCACGUUGUCAUUAUGUUAAGGCUGAUUGGUAUAUAUUGCAUUGCAUUAAGCAUCUCGAGAUUCAUAUUUAGGAUGAUGUCCUGGUUGGAGUAUCAUGUGCGUGGACUUUGAGAAAGGAGAAUAGACUUCUUGACUUUUUGAGUCACUGUGUCCAUUUGGAUGCAAAAAGACGCUGAUAUCAAAUGAGAAAAAAAAAAAAGAAAAGAAACGAUUAAGAAGUCAAAGUUGAUGUGUAAUUAUUUCGUAAAUAGCUGUUUAGACUGACUAAGCAAUAGGAAAGUUAUGCCUAUACCUGAAUGUACAUGGUGCUUAACUCAGACUUAUUACCGUUUCAUAACCUGACAUUUUAGGAAUUAGGGCACAUGGCUCGUUUCCGUGCUGCUGUAGUUGACGGUGACCGACUGUUGUAAUAAAGGAUCACACAGAAGGAGAACGUUGUUAUGU
ensembl:lncRNA uncharacterized LOC114768810